GCAGUGGUGGUCCAGUGGUUAAAAUUCUGGCCUCCCAUGCAGGAGACCCAGGUUUGAUUCCUGGUCAAUGCA
rnacentral:tRNA from 1 species